UGGCCUAUGGAGCUCUGGAGUAUGAGAUAGAUUGAUGGAGAUUCUAUAGAAUCUGUAAGUCUUUUUAAAUGCAUAGAAUUAGUAUAAGCCUUUUUAAAUGCAAUUUUGGCUGACUACAGUCUAUGCGGUUGUUCCAGGCUAUUUGCUCUGUAAAAUAAAUAAAUGGAAAACUAACUUAUAUCAAGAUCAUAUUUACAAUACGGAUUAUGGUUUUAUUCAUUUAACUUGUAUUUUGCCUGUAGUUUUCUAGGUAUUAGAUAUUUAUUAUUUUCUCCCUUCAUAAAAGAUUUCUUUUGAUAUUCUACAGUAUUACGAAAUACACAUCUGUAACUAACAAAUUAUGGUUUGUAAUCAUAUGGUUAUAUGUAUUAUCGUUAUUUACCUCUAUUACAUGUAUUUUUCUCAAUUAUACCUUUUCUUUUCACUUGGUGCACUACAUGCUCCUGAUCACACCUAAUAAAUUUUCAUUUGGAAAACUACGAACAUGACAUGCAUGAUCACACCUAAUGUAUGUUUGUUUUAUUUGUUGUUAGCUUAUAUUGGAAAAUUAAAUACUUUUAAGACAAUUCAAGAAGGUCUAUAUUAUUUGAAGUUCUCUACUGGCUCUGUUGAACUGAAGAGGACACACGUUAGGUGAAUGUCUCAAUGUAUUCAAAAUUUACAACAUGACAUGCAUGGUUCUAAUAGUGCUGACCAACACUUGUUAUCUAAUAGGUGUCCUUAUUGGUAGAUGUUAAGUAUGCUUUCUCUACCUCAGUAAAUGCAAUAGUCCUUAGAUUCACUGAAUAAGCUACUAAUCAAUAUAUAUAUUUUGGAUAUGAUUCAUUAGUUCAUAAAUAUUUAAGGAUAGAGUCCCAUACUUGUCACGAAGUUCCCAAGUUUCCGAUAUUCUAAAUUUGUAUAUGUUCUUGUGGGGCUGGUUGAGUUGAGGUAACAAUGAUCAAUCUAUUAGAUAUUAUUAGUAAAUAAAAGAAGAGCUUGUAAUGUUAUUGGACUUACCAUUGAACUUCUGCACUAUUGUGGAGGUUACAAUAAGGACAGUUUGGUUGUUGCUUACAUCCUAAUUUCCCCAUAAUGUCAAUAUGAUUUUAUUACCCCUAAAGAGUAUAAGCAGAAAAAACUAAUGCUAAUAGCAAUGGUAGAAGUCCAAUUAAUAUUUUAAGAAUGGGUAUGCAUUAUGCACUUACUUUGGUAUAUAAUUUCAAUCUGGCAGAAAUAUGAAGGUUAUAGUUAUUUCUUCUUAUUCUUGAUUCCACAGGCUUCAUUUGGGGAGUAACCAAUGACAUUUAUUGGAGAUUAAUUAGUUCACAGUAAACAUUAAUUACUUGAAAAAUAUUAUUUACAACUACAAAAUAUAGACAUACCUGAGCAAUGUUUAUCUUUCUUGGUCUGUUCCUAUAAUAUGUCUUUGCUAGCAAUCUCGAAGUAGUAAUGCGGAUAACCUUAUGCUGAUCUUUUCACCUUCAAAUUGUUAAAUGUAUAAAUAGAUUUGUCAUUUAUCUUCGAUUUCUACGUGUCCAUCAAACCUCCGAGAUGGUAGCAUGAAUUGUUUGGCCCUAUAAGAACAGUCAAAAUAUACUUAGUGAUUGUUGUUUUACUUUUAAAAUGAUGGAACAAUCUGAAAUUAGAUAUGUUAUGAAAUAACCUUUUAUCCAUCUAGAUCAUAUUGAGGCUCAUAAGCUCGUGUCGGUUAUACAUUCCAGUUUUGCUUCCUUGUUGUGACGUCACUAUGCUUCUUGUAUGACAAUGUUUUCUCUGCAAAAAAGUUAGAAAUUUGUUAGUCAAUUUAUAAUAUAUGUUCAAAGAUUGUAUCUAGAAUAAUAACUACACACCGUUAUGAUUCAGGUGAUAGGCAACUCGGAUGGAUGGCUGGGUGUGACUUCGUCGAGCAUUGAGUCGAACAUCAAGUUGCAUUUUUCAUCGAUUCUGAUCUUUUCCCAAAAUUGUGUUGCCCUCUAUAGAAACUUCUUUUAUUGAUGUGUGCCGAGUAGCAGAUUUGGCUGGCUUGAAUUUUGGGUGUGUGCUGGGCAUGGCCGAAAUUUGGCUGGCUUGAAGUUUUGGAUGCGUGCUGGGUAUGGCUGGCUGGGUGCCUUUAUAUUUGUGCCUGUCUUGGCCGACUACGUGUAAACUUCAGGUUGAGUCUGUAUGGAAUUAUGUAUGCAGUCUGGUAUUGGUGCACGUGAGUUUCCAUAUGGGCUAUUUGCCUGAUUUGGAGAUUCAUGGGCAUGUUUUUUCUAAGGAAAGACUUGCCUACGUGAUCUUUUUUUUUACGUGUUCAAGUUGGACUUUGUUCAACGUGAUUGGCCGGAGGCUGUUUUUUUCUACGUGAUUUACGUGUUCAAGUUGGACUUUGUUCAACGUGAUUGGCCGGAGGCUGUUCGAAGGCUAUUUUUUUCUACGUGAUUGGCCGGAGGCUGAUUGAUUGGUUACGUCCAUGCCAAGUGCUAACACGAACGUGGGUUCAUCUUAGGCGUGUCUCUUUUUCGCGGGAGUACCUUAGAUGUGUCAGAUGUAAAAAGUUGUACAUGUUAUCGUUGUACGUAACUUUUACAUAUUUUUAAUCUCAGCCAUUGUUGUAUAAAUCAAUGGCUAAUAUAUUUUUAGCCUAUGUGGAUAAAUGUGGUGGCUUAAUUGUCUCUUGUUUUAAUUAUAUAAUAGAUAGAUAGAUUGUUGUUAGCUUAUAUUGGAAAAUUAAAUACUUUUACGACAAUUCAAGAAGGUCUAUAUUAUUUGAAGUUCUCUACUGGCUCUGUUGAACUGAAGAGGACACACGUUAGGUGAAUGUCUCAAUGUAUUCAAAAUUUACAACAUGACAUGCAUGGUUCUAAUAGUGCUGACCAACACUUGUUAUCUAAUAGGUGUCCUUAUUGGUAGAUGUUAAGUAUGCUUUCUCUACCUCAGUAAAUGGAAUAGUCCUUAGAUUCACUGAAUAAGCUACUAAUCAAUAUAUAUAUUUUGGAUAUGAUUCAUUAGUUCAUAAAUAUUUAAGGAUAGAGUCCCAUACUUGUCACGAAGUUCCCAAGUUUCCGAUAUUCUAAAUUUGUAUAUGUUCUUGUGGGGCUGGUUGAGUUGAGGUAACAAUGAUCAAUCUAUUAGAUAUUAUUAGUAAAUAAAAGAAGAGCUUGUAAUGUUAUUGGACUUACCAUUGAACUUCUGCACUAUUGUGGAGGUUACAAUAAGGACAGUUUGGUUGUUGCUUACAUCCUAAUUUCCCCAUAAUGUCAAUAUGAUUUUAUUACCCCUAAAGAGUAUAAGCAGAAAAAACUAAUGCUAAUAGCAAUGGUAGAAGUCCAAUUAAUAUUUUAAGAAUGGGUAUGCAUGAUGCACUUACUUUGGUAUAUAAUUUCAAUCUGGCAGAAAUAUAAAGGUUAUAGUUAUUUCUUCUUAUUCUUGAUUCCACAGGCUUCAUUUGGGGAGUAACCAAUGACAUUUAUUGGAGAUUAAUUAGUUCACAGUAAAGAUUAAUUACUUGAAAAAUCUUAUUUACAACUACAAAAUAUAGACAUACCUGAGCAAUGUUUAUCUUUCUUGGUCUGGUCCUAUAAUAUGUCUUUGCUAGCAAUCUCGAAGUAGUAAUGCGGAUAACCUUAUGCUGAUCUUUUCACCUUCAAAUUGUUAAAUGCAUAAAUAGAUUUGUCAUUUAUCUUUGAUUUUGACGUGUCCAUCAAACCUCCGAGAUGGUAGCAUGAAUUGUUUGGCCCUAUAAGAACAGUCAUAAUAUACUUAGUGAUUGUUGUUUUACUUUUAAAAUGAUGGAACAAUCUGAAAUUAGAUAUGUUAUGAAAUAACCUUUUAUCCAUCUAGAUCAUAUUGAGGCUCAUAAGCUCGUGUCGGUUAUACAUUCCAAUUUUGCUUCCUUGUUGUGACGUCACUAUGCUUCUUGUAUGACAAUGUUUUCUCUGCAAAAAAGUUAGAAAUUUGUUAGUCAAUUAAUAAUAUAUGUUCAAAGAUUGUAUCUAGAAUAAUAACUACACACCGUUAUGAUUCAGUUGAUAGGCAACUCGGAUGGAUGGCUGGGUGUGACUUCGUCGAGCAUUGAGUCGAACAUCAAGUUGCAUUUUUCAUCGAUUCUGAUCUUUUCCCAAAAUUGUGUUGCCCUCUAUAGAAACUUCUUUUAUUGAUGUGUGCCGAGUAGCAGAUUUGGCUGGCUUGAAUUUUGGGUGUUUGCUGGGCAUGGCCUAAAUUUGGCUGGCUUGAAGUUUUGGAUGCGUGCUGGGUAUGGCUGGCUGGGUGCCUUUAUAUUUGUGCCUGUCUUGGCUGACUACGUGUAAACUUCAGGUUGAGUCUGUAUGGAAUUAUGUAUGCAGUCUGGUAUUGGUGCACGUGAGUUUCCAUAUGGGCUAUUUGCCUGAUUUGGAGAUUCAUGGGCAUGUUUUUUCUAAGGAAAGACUUGCCUACGUGAUCUUUUUUUUUA
rnacentral:lncRNA from 1 species